ensembl:snoRNA F12F6.11 ncRNA
GGAUUGAAGAUGAAAUCAACGACGCUGACCGGUAGUGAUGUGUUGUCGAAACCUCUAAGAAGUACUGACCGC